GAGGAACAGGAAAUGUGCAUAGGAAGCAGGAUACCCUCCAGUUAGAAGGUUUGGGCGUGUACUGGGAAGUGGUGAGGGCACAGCUGCUCCUUUGCUAACGCUAGAGGGCGCAUUGUGGGUGGAAGAUAAGAACACCAGACUGAGGAAGUCGUACUGCUCACUCACUGCGCACUCACGUUAAAAUGGAAUGAAAAAGUCAAAAGCUUGUGGACCACUGGGUGCUGAAGAUAAGAACUCUUCAAGGAUUAAACCUGUAUCUGAGACCAUCUGGAAGAACAAUCAGAUGGCAUUAAGGCCGUAACUGAGGAAUUUGGUUUUGCUGUUUCUGCCUGGAGCAGGAGUAGAAACAAAUAUCUUGCUGAAACCAAAGGAAGAGAAGGGCCCUUCAACAAUGAAAGUCUGACAAGUUUUCAGUGCUACAAAAACUUUCCAAAGUAAGUUCUGGGAAAAUACCC
rnacentral:lncRNA from 1 species